rnacentral:rRNA from 1 species
UGAUCAUGGCUCAGAUUGAACGCUGGCGGCAGGCCUAACACAUGCAAGUCGAACGGUAACAGGAAGCAGCUUGCUGCUUCGCUGACGAGUGGCGGACGGGUGAGUAAUGUCUGGGAAACUGCCUGAUGGAGGGGGAUAACUACUGGAAACGGUAGCUAAUACCGCAUAAUGUCGCAAGACCAAAGAGGGGGACCUUCGGGCCUCUUGCCAUCGGAUGUGCCCAGAUGGGAUUAGCUAGUAGGUGGGGUAACGGCUCACCUAGGCGACGAUCCCUAGCUGGUCUGAGAGGAUGACCAGCCACACUGGAACUGAGACACGGUCCAGACUCCUACGGGAGGCAGCAGUGGGGAAUAUUGCACAAUGGGCGCAAGCCUGAUGCAGCCAUGCCGCGUGUAUGAAGAAGGCCUUCGGGUUGUAAAGUACUUUCAGCGGGGAGGAAGGGAGUAAAGUUAAUACCUUUGCUCAUUGACGUUACCCGCAGAAGAAGCACCGGCUAACUCCGUGCCAGCAGCCGCGGUAAUACGGAGGGUGCAAGCGUUAAUCGGAAUUACUGGGCGUAAAGCGCACGCAGGCGGUUUGUUAAGUCAGAUGUGAAAUCCCCGGGCUCAACCUGGGAACUGCAUCUGAUACUGGCAAGCUUGAGUCUCGUAGAGGGGGGUAGAAUUCCAGGUGUAGCGGUGAAAUGCGUAGAGAUCUGGAGGAAUACCGGUGGCGAAGGCGGCCCCCUGGACGAAGACUGACGCUCAGGUGCGAAAGCGUGGGGAGCAAACAGGAUUAGAUACCCUGGUAGUCCACGCCGUAAACGAUGUCGACUUGGAGGUUGUGCCCUUGAGGCGUGGCUUCCGGAGCUAACGCGUUAAGUCGACCGCCUGGGGAGUACGGCCGCAAGGUUAAAACUCAAAUGAAUUGACGGGGGCCCGCACAAGCGGUGGAGCAUGUGGUUUAAUUCGAUGCAACGCGAAGAACCUUACCUGGUCUUGACAUCCACGGAAGUUUUCAGAGAUGAGAAUGUGCCUUCGGGAACCGUGAGACAGGUGCUGCAUGGCUGUCGUCAGCUCGUGUUGUGAAAUGUUGGGUUAAGUCCCGCAACGAGCGCAACCCUUAUCCUUUGUUGCCAGCGGUCCGGCCGGGAACUCAAAGGAGACUGCCAGUGAUAAACUGGAGGAAGGUGGGGAUGACGUCAAGUCAUCAUGGCCCUUACGACCAGGGCUACACACGUGCUACAAUGGCGCAUACAAAGAGAAGCGACCUCGCGAGAGCAAGCGGACCUCAUAAAGUGCGUCGUAGUCCGGAUUGGAGUCUGCAACUCGACUCCAUGAAGUCGGAAUCGCUAGUAAUCGUGGAUCAGAAUGCCACGGUGAAUACGUUCCCGGGCCUUGUACACACCGCCCGUCACACCAUGGGAGUGGGUUGCAAAAGAAGUAGGUAGCUUAACCUUCGGGAGGGCGCUUACCACUUUGUGAUUCAUGACUGGGGUGAAGUCGUAACAAGGUAACCGUAGGGGAACCUGCGGUUGGAUCACCUCCUUACCUUAAAGAAGC